rnacentral:sRNA from 1 species
CAAAAACAAACAAAAAACGUUAUAACGACAACAAAUUAUAUUUAGUG